UACGUAGGGUGCGAGCGUUGUCCGGAAUUAUUGGGCGUAAAGAGCUCGUAGGCGGUUUGUCGCGUCGACUGUGAAAACCUGGGGCUUAACUCUGGGCCUGCAGUCGAUACGGGCAGGCUUGAGUUCGGUAGGGGAGACUGGAAUUCCUGGUGUAGCGGUGAAAUGCGCAGAUAUCAGGAGGAACACCGGUGGCGAAAGCGGCUUCCUGGUCCAGCAACGACGUUCAGGCACGAAAGCGUGGGGAGCAAACAGG
rnacentral:rRNA from 1 species